rnacentral:tRNA from 1 species
GCGGGCGUGGCGGAACUGGCAGACGCGCUAGACUUAGGAUCUAGUGGAAGGUAUCCGUGGAGGUUCAAGUCCUCUCGCCCGCACCA